rnacentral:rRNA from 1 species
CAGGGGGGGGUGCUAAUACAUGCAAGUCGAGCGGACCGACGGGAGCUUGCUCCCUUAGGUCAGCGGCGGACGGGUGAGUAACACGUGGGUAACCUGCCUGUAAGACUGGGAUAACUCCGGGAAACCGGGGCUAAUACCGGAUGCUUGAUUGAACCGCAUGGUUCAAUCAUAAAAGGUGGCUUUUAGCUACCACUUGCAGAUGGACCCGCGGCGCAUUAGCUAGUUGGUGAGGUAACGGCUCACCAAGGCGACGAUGCGUAGCCGACCUGAGAGGGUGAUCGGCCACACUGGGACUGAGACACGGCCCAGACUCCUACGGGAGGCAGCAGUAGGGAAUCUUCCGCAAUGGACGAAAGUCUGACGGAGCAACGCCGCGUGAGUGAUGAAGGUUUUCGGAUCGUAAAACUCUGUUGUUAGGGAAGAACAAGUACCGUUCGAAUAGGGCGGCACCUUGACGGUACCUAACCAGAAAGCCACGGCUAACUACGUGCCAGCAGCCGCGGUAAUACGUAGGUGGCAAGCGUUGUCCGGAAUUAUUGGGCGUAAAGCGCGCGCAGGCGGUUUCUUAAGUCUGAUGUGAAAGCCCCCGGCUCAACCGGGGAGGGUCAUUGGAAACUGGGGAACUUGAGUGCAGAAGAGGAGAGUGGAAUUCCACGUGUAGCGGUGAAAUGCGUAGAGAUGUGGAGGAACACCAGUGGCGAAGGCGACUCUCUGGUCUGUAACUGACGCUGAGGCGCGAAAGCGUGGGGAGCGAACAGGAUUAGAUACCCUGGUAGUCCACGCCGUAAACGAUGAGUGCUAAGUGUUAGAGGGUUUCCGCCCUUUAGUGCUGCAGCAAACGCAUUAAGCACUCCGCCUGGGGAGUACGGUCGCAAGACUGAAACUCAAAGGAAUUGACGGGGGCCCGCACAAGCGGUGGAGCAUGUGGUUUAAUUCGAAGCAACGCGAAGAACCUUACCAGGUCUUGACAUCCUCUGACAACCCUAGAGAUAGGGCUUCCCCUUCGGGGGCAGAGUGACAGUG